UAAUUAAGGGCGCUGCUGGUGUUUUGCAGGCAGCUGUUUCCUCCUCCGGCCCUCCUGUUCCCCGGGCCGCCUGGGCACCGGCGCCUGCACUCUGGCAUUCAUUGCUCUACCGUAAGCCUUGUUUCUAGCCGUUUUCAAUCAAGUGGGAGACCGUCCAAAUUUCCUUCUCAAUGACAAUCAACUGUUCUAAAUCCAAGCUCCCAUUAAGCGUUCCAGGGGCUGACCUGACUUGGAAUUUAAGCAGCAGCCCCGCCCUCCCUGGAGGGAGCGGCAGCCGGGGCUCCAGAUGAGGCGGGCCUGCCUCCUAGUGGCCAAGAUGCUGCACGGCAGCUCUGAGGGCUCGCGGGCUGUGCAGCCGCCACCCGAGGACACUGGGAGGAGGCACAGUAAGAGAAUCCUUAGAGCCUAACUCCCCUGUCUCCGUCGCCCUCGAGCCGUUCCAGUCCCCAAGUCCCAUCCCCUUUCCCUCCCCGACAUCUCUCCUCGUUGCCCCACUCUGGCUCCGUCGAACUGCAGUGGUCUGUUAGCUGGACUCUACCUCCAGCUUCUGUAUCGAAUCCAUACACCUCACUGCCAAUUCGUCUUCCGGACCCUUGUUGUCGAUCCUCUAUGAUCUCUCAUUAAGGCUCUGCUGAGCCUCCUCUUUACGUAUAGGGAGGAUCCUCAAGCGGAGAGUCACACCCUUCCUGGAGAGGGGUAUCGCCAGCCACGACAAGGCGAGCCGCCUUUCUCCCCACACGCCCAAAAAGGCGAUGACCCUCCCCAGGCCGCGCUCGCGCUGAACCUCUGUUGCUGAGCUGCAGUUCCUGGAGGUGUCCUGUCGCUCAAAUGUGGGGACGCGGGAAAAAGAUUGAGAAGACACGGCAUGUGUGGAUGUUGUAACAGGGUUUGAAGGAAGCAUCUCACACAACUCACAUGUGAGAACCCAAUCAUCACAUUUAUAAAACACAAAAGGAUCAGCAUUUUAAAAUUUGUAAUUUGUGGAUUUUUCUCAUUCCAAGUAAAUAGUUGUUUACAUACCCAAUUUUUUAUCUUUGUUUUUGUUUUAAUUUUUUAUUUCUUUUUUAUUUUUUCUAUUUUCUAGACAACCAAUUUUUUAUUCCUAACUUUGCAUUCUUUUUCUUAAAGAAAGCCUCUGCCAAAUUGUGUAAGCUCCUACCCCUGGUGAUCAGGCAACAGUCAUAAUCAGUCAAGACUGCAAAUGAUAUUUACCAAUUUGGUUACCUUGGAAGUUCUUUCAAUGUCAGGCUUUAAAAGGGCAAGAGUAUUAACUGAGAAGAAUUGAAGCCACUUUAUUGAAUGCCCUACAUAGUUUGUUAGGUGAACAUAACCUAAUGUUAAAAUAGAACACUUCUCACCUCAGUUUCUCCAGAGGGACUGACAUUGUAGCUCUCAGGUACCAAUGUGUGCAUGGGACAGAACCCGGUAAGAGGAAUCUAAAACAAAAUAAACCCUGAUGUUUGGGUUUGGUUUCAACAUUUAAGGUCGUUUAUCCAAGGGCUUCUUUCUCUCUUCAAGAAUAGAAAAGAUUUGUUGCAGAGUAAGAAGAAAGAAGAAAAAUUCUAGUGAGAAGGAUUUUUUGGAAGUUUUUGCUGUAAGCCUGAAGUCCUGUAUCUCAAGAGGAAAUAGGGGGUGAGGAGACACCUGAACCUCUCUCAAGUUUUGAGGGCCUUCAACACGGCCAUUCUGAGAGUCUAAUGUGAGUCACCUGAAGUUUGAAAGACAGUGGGCUGAGGGCUGAUUUCUGCCCCAGAAAAUCUGUAGAGUAAGAGAGAAGCUGGCCAAUUGUGUUGAGGAUGAUGAAGCCAAAGCAAGUAGCUGCUACCUCUGGGAAAUUCCUGCAACCCCAAGCCCCUGCAGUGGAAGGACAAGGCGUGUUCCCCCAGUGUACGACAGGAUAGAGGACCAGCGAUCCUGAGGCUGUGUGAGGCUCUAUCAGAGAGGACCUCCUAGAAGGGGCAAUGGGACUCCACAGUGUGUGGGGGUGGAUCCUCUAAAGUGGGGAGCUGUCAGCAGAAGAAGGGGCAUCAACACAGCUCCAGAGAUCCCACAGAGGGGGUACCCCCCAAAAGAGUGCUCAAGAGAAUAUCAGCUUUAAAUGUCAGCCCACACUCAGCACAAAGUCAAAUUAUGGCAGAUAGGGCUGAGUAAGAAAAUUCCCUUCUACUAUUUUUGAUUCCUCUCUUUAUGUCCCAACCCUAGGGGCAAGCCUAAUGAGGAAGAGGAGCAGGAAAAGAGAAAUGAAGGAUCAAGCCUUCCUCUCUCACUGCAGGCAGCCAGCUCAUACUGGGGCUGCCCAAGAAAGGGAGACAAUUCAACAUUAAAUAAAAUUCAAGGUUUUAGAUUUUUCCAGGGCUCGGUAUUCUAAUGUGUGGAUUGGGCUGUGUUUGUAACUUAAAAUGACCACAAGACAGACUGUAAAUUACCUUGGGGUGAACUGUAUUCAUCCAAGGCAGGAAAAGAUUACCAUACAAAAUAAACUUUAUAGGAUCAAUAAGAA